AUGACUGUCGGUGUCUUCUUUGAGCCCUGCACCCCCCACCCAGUUCUACAUCUGUAUAAAAGCAGCUGUCAGUCACAGGAUAUAGCAGCAGCUUCCUUCACCUUCAUCUUUGAGACACUGAACGAACAGCUACAACAUGUGCAGGCUAAUUCUAACUGCAGGUAAGGAAACUCUGAUAAAGGACAGGUUUUCUAAACCAAUGUUUACAUGAUUUGCACAAAAAAUAUGUUUGAGUUGAGUUGUAUUUACUCUAACAUUCUGAGCAAUAUUUAUUAGUUAGUUUUAGUAUUAAUAGGUUUCAGGUGUGUAAAAGAUGGAGCACAAUAAAUUCACAAUAAGUUCACUUUCA
rnacentral:lncRNA from 1 species